rnacentral:rRNA from 1 species
GAUGAACGCUGGCGGCGUGCCUAAUACAUGCAAGUCGAGCGAACAGACGAGGAGCUUGCUCCUCUGACGUUAGCGGCGGACGGGUGAGUAACACGUGGAUAACCUACCUAUAAGACUGGGAUAACUUCGGGAAACCGGAGCUAAUACCGGAUAAUAUAUUGAACCGCAUGGUUCAAUAGUGAAAGACGGUUUUGCUGUCACUUAUAGAUGGAUCCGCGCCGCAUUAGCUAGUUGGUAAGGUAACGGCUUACCAAGGCAACGAUGCGUAGCCGACCUGAGAGGGUGAUCGGCCACACUGGAACUGAGACACGGUCCAGACUCCUACGGGAGGCAGCAGUAGGGAAUCUUCCGCAAUGGGCGAAAGCCCGACGGAGCAAUGCCGCGUGAGUGAUGAAGGUCUUCGGAUCGUAAAACUCUGUUAUUAGGGAAGAACAAAUGUGUAAGUAACUAUGCACGUCUUGACGGUACCUAAUCAGAAAGCCACGGCUAACUACGUG